GCAUCAGUGGUUUAGUGGUAAAAUCCGUCGUUGCCAAUCCAUCAAUUGGUUCAGCUCGACGGGCCCCGUGUUCGAUUCACGGCUGAUGCA